AUACGUAGGUGGCAAGCGUUGUCCGGAAUUACUGGGUGUAAAGGGCGUGUAGGCGGGGAUGCAAGUCAGAUGUGAAAUUCCGGGGCUCAACCCCGGCACUGCAUCUGAAACUGUGUCUCUUGAGUGCUGGAGAGGAAAGCGGAAUUCCUAGUGUAGCGGUGAAAUGCGUAGAUAUUAGGAGGAACAUCGGUGGCGAAGGCGGCUUACUGGGCUUUUACUGACGCUGAGGCUCGAAAGCGUGGGGAGCAAACAGGAUUAGAUACCCUGGUAGUCCACGCUGUAAACGAUGAAUACUAGGUGUUGGGAGAUUAAACUCUCGGUGCCGUCGCAAACGCAUUAAGUAUUCCACCUGGGGAGUACGUUCGCAAGAAUAAAACUCAAAUGAAUUGGCGGGG
rnacentral:rRNA from 1 species